rnacentral:lncRNA from 10 species
GCCUAACCUUCUGGGAAUGUAGCCCAGUAGAUCUCAGCCUUGUUUUACCCAGCCCCUAUUCAAGAUGGAGUCACUCUGGUUCAAACACCUCUGACAAAAAUCCUUCUAAAAAUUUUUAAUAUACAAAUUGAGAUCUUCUAAUAUUUUUCUAUUACUGUGGUAUAUCACUUCUUUCCCUUUGUGCACCCUACUUAAAAUUUCAACUCACUCAGAAGAUACAGGAGCUGACUGUCGCUGUGGCUGUGCUGUAUCGGAACACUGCCUACCUUAAGGAAAGAACUUUGGAGGUCUCAGGCUUUGAAUUUUAUUUCCUGUAGUUUUUUCUCUCUGAAAUCUUAUAUAGGCUUUUCCUGAGUAAGGGUCAUUUUCACUUAGCUUUUUGAUGGUAUAAUGGACUGAAUGUUUGUGUCCCCCUUCCAAGUUCAAAUGUUGAAGGCCAAACCCUCCUUGUGGCUGUACUUGGAGAUGGGGGCCUCUUAGGAAGCAAUUAAGGUUGGAUGAGGUCCUUAGGGUGGGGCCCUGAUAGGAUUAGCGUCUGUAUAAAAAGAGACACCUGAGAGCUUCGCCCUGCUAGGAUUAGCGUCUGUAUAAAGAGAGACACCUGAGAGCUUCGCCCUGCUAGGAUUAGCGUCUGUAUAAAGAGAGACACCUGAGAGCUUCGCCCUGCUAGGAUUAGCGUCUGUAUAAAGAGAGACACCUGAGAGCUUCGCCCUGCUAGGAUUAGCGUCUGUAUAAAGAGAGACACCUGAGAGCUUCGCCUACACGCUUCCCCACUGAGGGAAGACCAUGUGACUAUACAACAGGAAGGUAGUUGUUUACAAGCCAGGAAGAGAGCCCUCACCAGAAACCAAAUUGGCUGGCGCCUUGAUCAUGGACUCCUGGGCUCCGGAACUGUAAGAAAAUUUGUGUUGUGGAAGCCACCCAGCCCAUGGUAUUUCGUUAUGGCAGCCUGAGCAGAGGUGGUAGCUAUGUGGACAGUUUUUGGACUUCUCUAUUUGCCACAUUAUAUGAAUAUAUUAUGCUGCUUUGUCACAUGCUGUAAGAAAAGUAACUGCUAUGGAGUUGAGAAGGUACAAGAAAGGACAUGAGGAUCCUCAAGAAGGUGCCAGAAGGGAGGCAUCUCAUCCAGCCUCAUAAAGCUAUGAGGAUGGCUAUAACAUGACAUCACGGAAGCAAAGGCUUUCACUUUCUGGAGUGAAAAGAGAAAGGGAACAUGGACAUGCUCCUUGAAUGGUUAAUCACCCUGCCCCCCACUGAUGCCUGUGUGACCCAAGCUUUCCUCCUUCCUUGCUAGUCACUUGCCCCAAGACUUCUACACAUCAACUCCCCGCUCUGGAGUCUCCUCUGUUGUCAUAAACCAUUGGGUUGUCCAGAAUCUUGGCUCUCAAAACAUGGUCCAUGAACCAGCAGUAUUAGCAUCACCUAUGAAUUUGUGUCCAACUUAGACUACUGAGUCAUAAUCUUCAUUGUAACAUGAUAUGCAGAUGAUUUGUAAUUUGUAUGAACAUUAGAACGUUAAAGUUUGAGAAGGUCUGGCCUGAAACACUUCUUCAUAUCAAGCCUUAACUGAAAUCUGAUUUAUAAUGGUAAUCAUGAUUUAUAAUGAUACCAUGAUUUAUAGUGGGGGUAAUUAUCACUAUACUUUUAAAUAGUACAUGUGUUAGUUAAUUUUAUCAUGUUUUCAGCAAGUGCCUACUGUAUUCCAGGUACUACAAGUGCUGCAAAUUGGGGAUAUAAGAAUAGUAUCCCCACAGAGCUCACGGUGUAGCAGGCUUAUGAAAACAAAACAAAACACUCAAACAAAAAAAAUCACAAAAUUGUAUUUCAAGCUGUACAAAGCUAUGCCCUCUAAUUAAUGCUAUAUUUCUCUCUUCACGUCUUUCACUUUUCUCCCAGAAUCCAUGUAUUCUGUGAGAAAAAAAUCUGACUUGAAAUGUUACCCUCUUUCCACUUCUUUUCCAUUUCAAUGCUGUUGUUGCAUUGCUGGCACAAGCCUCUAGAAGUAGUAUUCUCAGGCCCAAUUGGAAAGGCAAAUCAACAAUUUUUUAAAAAUUGGAUUUUAAGAGAGCAUUUGUGUUCCAUUUUCUCAGAUGACUUUCUAUGUAUGUAUCUCAUCUUCAAUUAGCAAUGCUUCUGCCAUUAUUACAGGGCAUAUUCUGGAAUUUUUCUUGUUUUGGUUUUGUUUCUGUUGUGGGGUAGGGAGAAAAGGAAUGAUUGAACAUGUUUAUUAAAUGCAGCCAAGCUUGUUUAGGUUUUGGAGAUACCAGAAGGUUAUGUUUUGUAAAAUAUAAUUGACACUAGCAUCACAGGGCAUGGGCUCCAAGGAUAACAUUACAUCAGGACCUUAGUGUGUUUACAUGAGCAUAAAAGAGCUGGUUCUGGUGAAUCAGGAAAUGAUUUGGAAAGAGUAGUGCAAAGAGGCUAAAUCUUCCAUGGGAAGAUGCUGCUGCUUCUGUUGCCAGGGCUGCUGCAGUUCUUUGAAGUCAAAAUCUGUAACUGAUUUGAGUUUAGGUCUCUUGAUCAAUAUCAGAUAAUACAAAAAACCUGAUUUUCUUAUCUUAUGGGAAUUUAUGGCAUCUCCCCUAGUCUCGAGAUCACUUCCUAGCAUGUAUUUCAAGAUAGUUUUUUGUAUAUGAUCUUAUACCAUUUUGUAUAUGAUCUUAUUCCACCAUUUUGCUUUUCCCAGAACUGAAUACUGAUAUAGUUACUAACACAGCACUCAAUGAAAUUUCCAAUAUUUUGGCUUCUCUUCAGUAGUUUUUGCCUUCUUUGACUUUUACUGCCUUUGUUGGCUAGAGUUUUAGCUGGCACCGUGCUGACCCAGCAGGUCACUUCAGUUUGGAAAAGAGUGAGUAGCAUUUGUGUUGCUUACUCAGCAUGUUAUUUCUCUUUGGAGCAAAGUGCAAUGGCUUCUGGUCAAUUUUUGAAUUGAUUUUAGGAUGGUUUUAAUGAUUUAUAAAGGAGCAUUUAAUCCCAUACAUCUAGGCUUUAUUUGCCUCAUGAAAUCAGCUACUACAUGAAAUUGUCUAAGGUUAUAUAGUUCAUCCCCUAAAAACAAACACACAAAAUUACUCCUUGGAGAAGAGUUGGUGUCAAUUUCUGCUUAUAAUCAAAGCUUCAUAUGUGGUCAUUUGACUUUUCAAAAAUUGAAUUUCAGGCAUUUCAUCUUUCAAAAAUAAUAUAUUUCAAAAGAUAAAAAAUAUAACUUAUAUAAGUACAAAAUGAACAUGCAUCAAACAAAUCAUUUGUGUUUCUGCUGAAUAUAAAUCUGUAAGUUAGCAUGUAACUUCACGUGGGUUAUAAUCAAUGGCAAAUAGUAAGUCAAGCACAAAUACAUUCUUGCAGAGAAUAAAUAGGUUUUGGGUGGGCCUAUUAGAGAAUGCUAUGUUGUGACAGUGAGAAGAUUAGGGGUCAUUCUUUUGCUUUAUUUUCAAGUUUUGGAUAAUUUUUCUUAACAAUCCUCCUUUGUCCCAAUAAUAAAUAAUACCUGAAGAUUAUUCUUGAUCACAUGAGAGGUUAGUUACAUUGUGUUUUGUCCCUGUUCAUUUAUAUUGAUGCAGCAAGAUAUGAGAAUUUUCAUACAUAGGCCUCUUUGGAGUAUAGUCAACAAAUCUAGAGCCAUGUGGUAUUGAGAGAAUUAACUUCUAUCUGGUCACCUCUGGGUCUCCAGUUACACAUAUUUAUACAAUUCGAUAUUGUUCUACAAGUUCUUGAGGCUUUGUUUACUUUUUUUCCCAAUCUUUUAUUCUCUUACUGCUUCACAUUGACUAAUUUCUGUUGUCUGUCUUCUAAGUUUGCUGAUUCUGUUUGUAAAAAAUAGUUAAGGGCAUAAAAAUUCAGCACAAAGUAGAUAAAGUUAUUUUGGUGAGAUACAGAAUCCUGUUACCUGGGCAGAUAACAGAAAACAUGAAGAAUACUUUUUUUACUAUCUCUUAUUAAGAGCAGACAAAUUACUCUAAGAAUAAUUUUUCAUUUUCAAAGUGAGAAACCUAAUUCUUAGCCUUUCAUUAAAGCAUUAUAUUUGGAGUUAGUAUAUCAAACUAAGCAAACUUUGCUGAUUUUCUUUUUACAUAUUGCAUUUCUUCUUUUUAAUUUUUUAAAACUAUAGAUUCGGGGUGUACAUGUGCAGAUUUGUUGCAUGGGUAUAUUGUGUAACGGUGGGGUUUGGUCCUCUAGUGAACCCAUUGCCCAAAUAGUGAACAUGGUACCCAAUAGGUAGUUUUUCAACCCUAACCUCUCUCCUUCUUCUCCCCAUUUUGGAUUCCCCUGUGUCUAUUAUUUCCAUCAUUAUGUCCAUGUGUACCCAAUGUUGAGCUCUCACUUAAAAGCAAAAACAUUUGGUAUUUGGUUUUCUGUUUCUGCAUUAUUUCACUUAGGAUAAUGACCUUCAGCUUCAUUCAUGUUGUUGAAAAGCACAUGAUUUCAUUCUUUUUUUAAUGGCUGUGUAUACGUAUACAUAUGUAUGGUGCAUAUAUACCACAUUUUAUUUAUCCAAUCCACUGUUGAUGGACAUGAUUUUGAUAUUGUGAAUAGGGCUGUGAUAAGCAUAUGAGUGCAGAUGUCUUUUUCAUAAAAUGAUUUCUUUUCCUUUGGGUAGAUACCCAGUAGUGGGUUUGCUGGGGUCCGUGGUGGUUCUAAUUUUAGUUCUUUGAGAAAUCUCCAUACUGUUUUCCACAGUGGUUGAACUAAUUUAUAUUCCCACCAACAGUGUAUAAGUGUGUUUCCUUUUCUCUUCAUCCUUGCCAACAUCUGCUAUUUUUUGACUUCUUAGUGAUAGCCAUUCUGACUGGUGAGAUGGUAUCUCAUUGUGGUUCUAAUUUGCGUUUUUCUGAUGAUUAGUGAUGUUGAGCAUUUUUUCAUGUUUGUUGGCCUUGUGUAUGUCUGCUGAGAAGUGUCUGUUAAUUUCGUUUGUCUACUUUUUAAUGGGGUUGUUUUUUAUUGAUUUUUUAAUAGAUUCUGAAUAUUAGUUCUUUAUCAGAGGCAUAGCUUGCAAAUAUUUUCUCCCAUUCUGUAGGUUGUCUGUUUACUCUGUUGAUUGUUUAUUUUGCUGGCAGAAGCUCUUUAAUUUAAUUAAGCCCUAUUUGCCUAUUUUAAAUUUUGUUGCAUUUGCAUUGGCUGUCUUAGUCAUAAAUUCCUUGCCUAGGCCAGUGUCCAGAAUAGUUUUGCCUAGGGUUUGUUCUAGGAUUUUUUUAUAAUUUCAGGUCUUAAACUUAAGUCUUUAACCUAUCUCGAGUUAAUUUUUGUGUUCAGUGACAGGUAGGAGUCCAGUUUCAUUCUUCUGGAUAUGGCUAGCUAGUUUUCCCAAUACCAUUUAUUGACUAGGGUGUCUUUUCCUCAUUGUUUAUUUUUGUCGACUUUGUGGCAGAUCAGUUGGUUGCAGGUGUGUGGCUUUACUUCUGAGUUCUCUGGCCUGUUCCGUUGAUCUGUGUGUUUAUUUUUGUACUGGUGCAAUGCUGUUUUUGCAUUUCUUUUUAGACAUUUUUUGCAGGUAUUCAAAACCAAAGCAAAUAACAUUGACUUUCCAUAGCCUUCUACAACUUUCUAUAUCCAUUUAAGUUUUGUCUUUCAUUAAUUUCUUCCAAAUUCUCAAACAAGACACUUCAAAACAAAACCAUUUUCCUUUUCUUUUGAAAAAAAAAUCUCUCUCUCACACACACAUCUCAUUUUCUUAUGCGUUUCUUAUGCAUUUCUUAUGCAUAUUAUUCUAGUAUAGCAUCAACAACUCAGCAUUAACAAAGCAACUAACUCCUAUUCAUCAGAACAACAUUGAAGGUAGGUAAAUGUCAACUGUCUGUUAUAUACAAGCACUAUGGCAAACUACAAAAUACGUGAGUACAUGCAACCUCUACAGCUACACACUCCCUUUUAUACCUUCUUAAAGUAGCGCAAAUGAAUACAUUUGUUGACAGAGCUCAGAGGCAUAGAUUCCCUAAAAUGUGUAAAAAUAAGAAACAAAAGUACAUACUGUGUAUUAAAACUAUGCGUACUUAGAAACUGAAGAUAUACAAGAAUUUUCCAUCAAUUAACUCAAUUUAUUAUUAGUAUUUUUGUCUAAAACUUAAAAAAUGAUCUUGGAAAAUCAGUUUUAACUGACACAGUACGGGACAUAAUAACUCUUGAUAUAAAAUGCUUAUCAGAAUUAUAAUUCUAUUUCACCGAACAUAUAAUUUUAUAUUUUCCUCAAUUAAAAAAUGUAUGAGAGGAAUAGUGGCUUAUCUGAACUUAUAAAGCAGUUAAAAAGUCUAGGAACUUCAGAUUCCUAGUUUCUUAGUGAGCAGCAAAUACAGUUAAAAAAGUAUUUUUUUAUUAUACUCCACAUUGAUAAAAUUAGGAAAAAGAUGCAAAGCUCUUUUUAAGCAAAAUCAUGAAAAUUCAUUUUGAUUUGUCCAAUGAUAUUCACAUUUAUUACAUGAACUUGGAUGCUUCUAUAAAAAUGCUUCUGAGUUGGCAGUUUCUGUAAAAGGUUUUGUUUUUGUUUUUUAAAGGCUAACACACUCAGGACUAGAAGUUCAGUUUCUUUAUUUUAUAAGAAUUCUGUAAACAUUAAAUUUAUGUGGUUCUUAUUGUUCUCUAUGAACCAAGCAGAACAGAGCUUCUUUAAUUUAAGAGGUUUUAUAGCUUAAUGUAUUAAUACCCUCCAGAGGUAGGAAAUAUUUCAUGCACACACAAUAAAAAGGAAAUGCCUUUCUCAAUUAUUGACACAGAGACACACGGAGAGCUUGCUGCUUCAAUUCUACAACUACAGACAAAGGUCUAAAGUAAACAGAAAAAUAAAAUUUACUGGUAACCUCAAACAAAUUUUCUCUUUUCCAGUGGGCAUAAAGUUUUACCUAACUAGGUUAAGCUCACAAAAAGCCAAAGCAACAAACCCAAAAGUGGAACAAUGUAGAUGAUCUUUCAUCUCUUAUCUGGCCAAGAAUGAGUUGUCAUUAUAUUGAAUAACGUUGUCAAAUAGUCAUACCAUAAAAUCAGAUUUCCAGUGGUCGUUUGUUCCAAUGGGUAAUAACUUAUCAGCCAUGUAUAGACCAGACUCAUGUGUACACAGGGUGUUCCAUAUACUACCUAAGGAUUCAUUAUUUACUAAUAAUCCCUGGCCUUGAUGGCAGAAAAAGUCAUGGCUAAAACCAUAAAUUAGAUGAAAUACAGACAACAACAGCAACCAGAAUUGGCCAAGAACAAAAAACAAAAAUAAAAACAUAAAAUCAGAAGAAUAAAAAACAGAGAUUCAAUGAAGGAAAAGUUAUAUUGCCCUUAAGAUUCACUCCAAGAUCUCCAUAAAGAUGUUCUCAGGAGGAAACAGCUUAUAAUGUGUACUUCUUGGACAAUACAUUAGAAUAGACUGUAGCAGACAAGUCUAUCUUAGUGGGAAAACCCCCACAAAGCUGGGCCCAGGGGUUCAUGCCUGUAAUCCCAGCACUUUGGGAGGCUGAGGUGGGUAGAUUGAUUAAGGUCAAGAGUUCAAGACUAGCCUGGGCAACACGGAGAAACCUCGUCUCUACCAAAAAUACACAAAUUAGCUGAGUGUGGUGGCAUAUGCCUGUGGUCCCAGCUACUCUGGAGGCUGAGGUGGGAGGAUUGCUGGAGCCUGGAAAGUCAAGGCUGCAAUGAGUUGUGUUUGUGCCACUGCAGUGCAGCCUGCAUGAUACAGCAAGACCCUGUUUCAAAAAAUAAAAAUAAAAUGAAAUUAUUAAAGUAUACUUUUCAAAAAAUUAUAAACAUGGCAUUAUUCUCAUACAAAUAUAAAGUAAGAUGUCAAAGAUUCAUUUACCUCAUGAAUGAGGUAUGCAGCUGGAAGGUAAAGCUGGUCUAAAGAAUAAUUUGAGGGACAAAGAUUUAUAUAGUCACCCAUGAAUAGUGUGAUGAAAUAAACUUAUUAAAUUGAGAAAGUUAUGGCUUAUGCAGCUAUAAAAUUAUAAGAGUUAGGAUCAUUUUUUCUAUUGGAGAGAAAUCAUCACUUAAGACAAAAAUCUGCAAAUAAACAUUUAUCUUCAUAGAGCCUUGGGGCUGUAAUGAACACUAAAUAAUCAGUCAAACAAAGAUAUAUUUCCCUAGAAAAUUAAACAAACCUUGGGAAGACCUAUUAGACCAGUGGUCCCCAACCUUUCCAGCACCAAGAAUUGAUUUUGUGGAAAACAAUUUUUCCACUGACAAUUUUUUCGUGGUCCUCCCCCAACAUCCGUGGAAAAAUUUGAGCGUGCAACCUAGAUCCCUUGCAUGCACAGUUUAUGACAGGUUUCACAGUCCUAUGAGAGUUUAAUGCUGCCACUGAUCUGACAGGAGGCAGAGCUCAGGGACUAAUGGGAGUGAUGGGGAGCGGCUAUAAACACAGAUGAAGCUUCGUGCUUACCUGCCACUCACCUCCUGCUAUGUGUCUUGGUUCCUAACAGGCCAUGGACAGGUACUGGUCUGUGGCCUGGGGGUGUGGGACCUCAGUGUUAGAUAAUGCUCCAGUAUAACAUUGAAAAGUAAUUCUGGCAUAUUUUGCCUUAUUUCCAAGUUUUGGAUAAUUUUUUCAAACAGUUCUAACUUCUUUGAAUCCUAAUAACAUUAGCCAGUGUUUCUCAGUCUUACAAAGGCUUAUUAGAGAAAUGUUUAAAUAACAUUCAUUUGCUACAUCAUGAAAUGUUUUUACAUCUUUGAAAUCCUUUGUUAAAUUAAUUUACAAAGAAAGUCCCAGAACUGGAUAAGGCUUAAUUUGGUUGAGGCUUAUGUCGGUUAAGGGAGACCCAUUAUUUAUUUGUACUAUUCAAAAUUUCAUUGGUGAUUUUUGGAAAUGUUCCCAAAUUCUUUGACACUUCUUUCACUCCAAGAAAUGAAGGUAAAUUCUUCUCCUCUUGUGGGUGGGCUGGACAUAGCAACUUGCUUAUAACAAAUUGAAUAUGGUGGAAGUAAUGGUAUAGAGCAAAUAAGGUGAGAUCAUAGAAGACAUUUAGCUUCCUCCUUACUCUAUCUUAAAUCACUUGUUCUGAGAGAAGUCAGAAACCAUGUUGUGAGGACACUCAAGCAGCCUAAACAGUGAGAAAUGGAAGCCUCUUGUCAACAGCUAGUAAGGAACUGAGGCUUCUAGCCCACAGCCAUAUAAGUCAGUCAUCUUAGAAGGAGAUACUCCAGCUCCAGUCAAGCUUUCAGAUAAUUACAGUUCCUACUGACAUAUUUUCUUGAAUUUUCACCAAAGACUUUACCAUACCACUCAGCUAAGCUGCUACUGAAUUCCUGAACCAUAGAAAGUAUGAAAUAAUAGAUUUUUGUUUUCUAAGCUGCUAAGUUUUGGAGUAAUUUGUUGCAUAGCAAUUAAUAUUUAAUAUAAGCCCUCAUAAAAAUUGUCCUCUCUUUUGGAAGGUGGAAAAGUAAAUUUUUUUCUCAACUCUUAAAUAAACCGAUUUUCUCACACACUAGAGAUAAGGAGGCUUACAUUUUGUGUGGUUCCAAACUGCUGUUUGGUUCUUAGGUGAUCUUGAGUAUGGCUUCCUCUUUGUUACCACUUGCUCACUGGACAUUGCUCAAAACACGUCUAAGAUGGACUUCUGAGUCUACAUCUAGAGAAUAUAUAGGCUGAGAGGUUGAACACGAUAUUGAGAAAACCCUCUAUGGUGAUUAUCUUCUAUGUCAUGAAACAUAAAACCUAAACCCCAAAGCUGGGUUUGAUUCCCUUUUUGAGGGUUGAGCCCUAUAUUUGUUUGGAUAGCUUCUCUCUCCCCAUCUCCCAUGGCUAAUAGGCUGGGACAUGUAUCCAUUUAUUAUGUGUGAUAUGUUGACACUUGUAGAAAUACAUUUUUGGGCAAAUUAUAAACUUAGAUUCAGAUUUUUCAUUUAUUUUUUAGACUGGGAAACAUCUUUAAUGUGGUAGAAAAAUACAGAUAAAUUUCUGACAAGAUAGUGAACCAACAUGUCUUGCUCUCUCCCCCCAGAAUUUAAACCUAGAGAGCCACAUAAGGAAGAAACAGUGUCCAGAUACAUAAAGUAAUGACUAUAAGAAACAUUCAAGAAGAGGCCCAGCGUGGUGGCUUGUGUCUAAUCCUAGCGUUAAGGGAGGCCAAGGCGGGUGGAUCACUUGAGGUCAGGAGUUUGAGACCAACCUGGCCAAGAUGGUGAAACCCUGUCUCUACUAAAAAUACAAAAAUUAGCCCAGUCCCAGCUACUCAAGAGACUGAGGCAGGAGAAUCGCUUGAACCCAGGAGGUGGAGGUUGCAGUGCACUGAGAUGGCGACAGUGCACCUCCAGCCUGGGUGACAUAGCGAGACUCUGUCUCAAAAAUCAAACAAACAAAAAAAUAAACACUUAACAUGGUGAA